UUCCUAGGGAGGGGUAGGUUAAUUUGUUGAAGUAUAUUUGUUUGGAAAAUAGUAUUUUGCUGUAGAUUUUGACGUUCUGUGAUGUUUUUGCAGAUUACCAAAUGCUCCUGACAUGGAGAUUUUCUCCAUGUAUGGAGUUGGAAUCCCCACUGAAAGGGCAUAUGUUUAUAAGUUAAGUUCUGCUGCUGAGUGUUACAUUCCAUUUCAGAUUGAUACCUCAGCAGAGGGUGGACCUGGCUGCACUUGUCUAAAGGGUGGCGUUUUUUCCGUUGACGGAGACGAAACAGUUCCUGUCCUGAGUGCAGGUUUUAUGUCUGCAAAAGGUUGGCGUGGAAAGACCCGAUUCAAUCCUUCAGGCAUUGGUACUUACAUAAGGGAAUAUAAUCAUGCCCCUCCAGCUAAUCUUUUGGAAGGUCGGGGAACCCAGAGUGGUGCUCAUGUCGAUAUAAUGGGGAAUUUUGCACUAAUUGAAGAUAUUAUUAGAGUGGCAGCGGGAGCUACAGGAGUAGACUUGGGAGGAGAUCAAGUUUACUCUGAAAUCUUCAAAUGGUCUGAAAGGAUCAACUUACAACUCUAGAUCUCAUUGAUUCUUGUUCAUGUGGAGCCUUGGGCGUCAAGGCACAACUGAAGGCGAUGGUUUUGUGGUGUGAAUUUGUGCUCAAAUUCAAAACUGAGAAAUCAAGGAUCAACUGCUGGCAGAGGUGUCAAGAUAUGUGGCUGUUGUGUACUUGUAUUUUAAUUUUUAUUGAUAUGGGAAGCAUGAAAAUUGGCAUCCAAUGUAACGUAUCCUCUAUCCAAGUCUUGCUACUUUUAGGGUGCUUAAUUUCAAAUUUCCCAAAAAUUUUGAAUAUUCAAUUAUUUUUGUAAAGCUGUAAGUAAUGAAAAUUUUAUGUUAAAGUUUA